rnacentral:lncRNA from 1 species
GUGCGAGGAGAGUCGUCGAUCUCCAGGACCACACGCAGCUGGUUUUACUCCGCCUCGACCCCUACCCCGCGACCUCGAAUCAGAAGACUUCUGAGAGGAUUAUCUUUCGCGACAUCCUUCUUUUCUGGAGAACGAAGAGGAGAUGGGGCUCUAGUAGACUUUGCAUUGGACGAAGAAGAUAACUUUUUGGAUGCAGUUGAAGGAAGACUAUUUGAGGUGGAAGAAUCAUCUAUGUCACUGGGAAGAUCCCAGACAGAUUCACCGUACCAAUUGUGUAUUUCUACUGUUUCUUUUUUAUUUGAUUUCUUUUUCUCUCAUUUUUUUGUGAUGAUAGUGAGCUCUGUAAGGAAGAUUGAGUUGACUGAGUACUGGUUUUGGAAGAUUUUGGUUUUCUUGGAAUUAUUAUUUUAUCGGUAGGUUCUGUUUCAACAGGCAGCAUUUUAAAAUUGUCCGCAUCAAUUGGCCAAGUCAUGCGAGUUUGUGUAUUCUCGUGACUGAAUGAGCGGACAACUUUGCUGGCGUACGAUGGUCUGUUUGAAACAAGGAGAUCAUUCGAAACAGAAGCUAUCUGUUUAGCUUCUGGGUAACUAAUGUUUCUUUCUGUUUUAAUUUUAAUUAUAU